ensembl:lncRNA
AUUUAUGCUUAAAAGCAAAAAAAAAUUCAGUCGUUUCUCUACACAAAUGAAAGUUAUAAUUUGAAACAAAAACAGGAAACAACCAGAACUAUGUUCUUUGGAUUUCAGUUAUUUGACCUAAUCGUUUCAAUUCCCACAGUUCCUUAGAGUUUGGGUGUCUUGCUCAAGGAUGCCUGCAGGUUAGACUGUGGACAACGGGGAUUCAAACCCAUUGGGGGCGUAGAGGCGGGAUAGUGUCGCGGUUAGGGUGUUCCACUACUAACCAAAAGGAUUGGGUUCGAACCCACAAUGUCCGCAGCCAAACCUGUAAGAUGACCCCUAACCCCUACCUGCUCCUUAACGACCUGUCUCUCUAUUCACUGUCUAACCCCUACCUGCUCCUUAACGACCUGUCUCUGUAUUCACUGUCUAACCCCUACCUGCUCCUUAACGACCUGUCUCUGUAUUCACUGUCUAACCCCUACCUGCUCCUUAACGACCUGUCUCUGUAUUCACUGUCUAACCCCUACCUGCUCCUUAAGGACCUGUCUCUGUAUUCAGUUGUCUAACCCCUACAUGCUCCUUAAUGUCCUGUCUCUGUAUCCACUGUCUAACCCCUACCUGCUCCUUAAUGACCUGACUCUGUAUUCACUGUCUAACCCCUACCUGCUCCUUAAUGACCUGUCUCUGUAUUCACUGUCUAACCCCUACCUGCUCCUUAAUGACCUGUCUCUGUAUUCACUGUCUAACCCCUACCUGCUCCUUAAUGUCCUGUCUCUGUAUUCACUGUCUAACCCCUACCUGCUCCUUAAUGACCUGUCUCUGUAUUCACUGUCUAACCCCUACCUGCUCCUUAAUGACCUGUCUCUGUGUUCACUGUCUAACCCCUACCUGCUCCUUAAUGACCUGUCUCUGUAUUCACUGUCUAACCCCUACCUGCUCCUUAAUGUCCUGUCUCUGUAUUCACUGUCUAACCCCUACAUGCUCCUUAAUGACCUGUCUCUGUAUUCACUGUCUAACCCCCUACAUGACCUGUAUCUGUAUUCACAGUGUAACCCCUACAUGCAUAAGGACCUGUCUCUGGAUUGUAAAUACUAAAGAGGAACAUCAGCGACUGUUGAGUUUUUAAUGGGCUGUAGUUCAGCCACUUCCCACCACAGUCCCUGGAUUUUCCCACGUCGAAGUGGACAGAAAGCUGCAAAGUGACCCGGACGUGGACCGUAACCCCUGACGUUUGAGGGGACAAUGGCGUUAUGGGAUCAUAACAAAGUCAUUAGCGCCCCAGCACUAUUUACUUGGAAAGUAUUCGUGGCCGCAUUCCGGUUCAGCCUCGGAGAUGCGUGCGCACCACGCUGCCAGGUUUUACAAGGCCAUCGAAAACAGAGUUGGUCACGGUUGAGUUUUACAUUACUCAGUUAGUUUCCAAAUAUCCUUUCUCAAUAAAGGGAGGAAGUAAUCCUUUCACUAGGAUUACUCCCCGCUGAAAAGAUAACUACUGUUUGAGGCGUUGAAAGGCCCCCCAUGUCAUGCUCUUUCAUGAUGAGUUGCCGAGGACUAGACGUUGCGCACAUGGCCAAUGUGCGCAAACAAACACAAUGUUCAGCAUCAUGCAUUCAUCUUCUGCAGCCGUGGUAGACCAGACAAAAUAAACCAUUGUAAGCAAAAAAAUGUAGUCUGAAUUAUGGCAGAAUUAUCAAAUAAGACACCGUGGUCAAGCUGACAGUGGCAUAAUUCUUUACAGUAGGCUUAUAAUAAAGUAGCCUGCAGACAAUGCGAGUCGUUACGCAAGAAACAGAUAAUGGCAAGUUUAUUCUAUAGAAGUGGCAUGUAUUAUAGAUAUACAGAAAAAAAUGUAGCCUAGGCUAUGCUUGUUAAAAGCCCGGAGGCAAAAGUGCAUAUGCAUUGCAAAUAUAUGCGCAAAUCGAAAUGAUGUAGAGAUCUUACAUCUAUAACCAUGCAAAGUGUGUGUGUGUGUGUGUGUGUGUGUGUGUGUGUGUGUGUGUGUG